GCAAUGGCCUCAAUUGAGGCCACAUUAUGUACAAAUAAAUAAAUAA
rfam:Ixodes scapularis strain Wikel colony gcontig_1108378518494, whole genome shotgun sequence.